GAUGAAGAACGCAGCAAAAUGCGAUAAGUAAUGUGAAUUGCAGAAUUCAGUGAAUCAUCGAAUCUUUGAACGCACAUUGCGCCCGCCAGUAUUCUGGCGGGCAUGCCUGUUCGAGCGUCAUUUCAACCCUCAAGCACAGCUUGGUGUUGGGACUCGCGUUAAUUCGCGUUCCCCAAAUUGAUUGGCGGUCACGUCGAGCUUCCAUAGCGUAGUAGUAAAACCCUCGUUACUGGUAAUCGUCGCGACCACGCCGUUAAACCCCAACUUCUGAAUGUUGACCUCGGAUCAGGUAGGAAUACCCGCUGAACUUAAGCAUAUCAAUAAGCGGAGGA
rnacentral:misc_RNA from 1 species